UACGUAGGGGGCAAGCGUUGUCCGGAUUUACUGGGCGUAAAGCGCGCGUAGGCGGGAGGUGAAGUCCGGUGGGAAAGCCCACGGCUCAACCGUGGAAGAACGCUGGAAACUCACCUUCUUGAGGGCGGCAGAGGGAAGUGGAAUUGCUGGUGUAGCGGUGAAAUGCGUAGAUAUCAGCAGGAACACCCGUGGCGAAGGCGGCUUCCUGGGCCGCCCCUGACGCUGAG
rnacentral:rRNA from 1 species